UAGCUAGUUGGUAGGGUAAAGGCCUACCAAGGCGACGAUCGGUAGCUGGUCUGAGAGGAUGGCCAGCCACACUGGAACUGAGACACGGUCCAGACUCCUACGGGAGGCAGCAGUGGGGAAUAUUGGACAAUGGGGGCAACCCUGAUCCAGCAAUGCCGCGUGUGUGAAGAAGGCCUGAGGGUUGUAAAGCACUUUCAGUGGGGAGGAGGGUUGAUUGGUUAAGAGCUGGUUAAUUGGACGUUACCCACAGAAGAAGCACCGGCUAACUCCGUGCCAGCAGCCGCGGUAAUACGGAGGGUGCGAGCGUUAAUCAGAAUUACUGGGCGUAAAGGGUGCGUAGGUGGUUUAUUAAGUUAUGUGUAAAAUCCCUGGGCUCAACCUGGGCAGGUCAUAUAAUACUGGUAGACUCGAGUAUGGGAGAGGGUAGUGGAAUUUCCGGUGUAGCGGUGAAAUGCGUAGAGAUCGGAAGGAACACCAGUGGCGAAGGCGGCUACCUGGCCUAAUACUGACACUGAGGCACGAAAGCGUGGGGAGCAAACAGGAUUAGAUACCCUGGUAGUCCACGCUGUAAACGAUGUCAACUAGCUGUUGGUUAUAUGAAUAUAAUUAGUGGCGC
rnacentral:rRNA from 1 species